GGCAACCUGGCCGAGUGGUCUAAGGCGCUAGCUUCAGGUGCUAGUCUGUAACAGGGCGCGAGUUCGAAUCUCGCGGUUGUCA
rnacentral:tRNA from 1 species